rnacentral:rRNA from 1 species
UUAACAAUUCCGAUGUUGUACACAGAGAGCACCGGCUAACUCCGUGCCAGCAGCCGCGGUAAUACGGAGGGUGCGAGCGUUAAUCGGAAUUACUGGGCGUAAAGGGUGCGUAGGUGGUUGAUUAAGUUAUCUGUGAAAUUCCUGGGCUUAACCUGGGACGGUCAGAUAAUACUGGUUGACUCGAGUAUGGGAGAGGGUAGUGGAAUUUCCGGUGUAGCGGUGAAAUGCGUAGAGAUCGGAAGGAACACCAGUGGCGAAGGCGGCUACCUGGCCUAAUACUGACACUGAGGCACGAAAGCGUGGGGAGCAAACAGGAUUAGAUACCCUGGUAGUCCACGCUGUAAACGAUGUCAACUAGCUGUUGGUUAUAUGAAAAUAAUUAGUGGCGCAGCAAACGCGAUAAGUUGACAUCG